rnacentral:tRNA from 1 species
GCGCCGGUAGCUCAGCUGGAUAGAGCGUUGGCCUCCGGAGCCAAAGGUCAGAGGUUCGAAUCCUCUCCGGCGCA